rnacentral:rRNA from 2 species
UGGGGAAUAUUGGACAAUGGGGGCAACCCUGAUCCAGCAAUGCCGCGUGUGUGAAGAAGGUCUUCGGAUUGUAAAGCACUUUCGACGGGGACGAUGAUGACGGUACCUGUAGAAGAAGCUCCGGCUAACUUCGUGCCAGCAGCCGCGGUAAUACGAAGGGGGCAAGCGUUGCUCGGAAUGACUGGGCGUAAAGGGCGUGUAGGCGGUUUAUAGGGUUAGGUGUGAAAUUCCUGAGCUUAACUUGGGGGCUGCAUUUAAUACGUAUAGGCUAGAGUGUGAGAGAGGGUUGUGGAAUUCCCAGUGUAGAGGUGAAAUUCGCAGAUAUUGGGAAGAACACCUGUGGCGAAGGCGGCAACCUGGCUCAUGACUGACGCUGAGGCGCGAGAGCGUGGGGAGCGAACAGG